rnacentral:lncRNA from 1 species
GCCUCCUCUCCGAUCCUAGUAUCGGACAAAGUAGUAAUUAACUCUCCUCUUCUUCCUGAGAAUUGAGCUGAUCACAGUAGCACGUUUCUUAGCCUUUCUGUUCUCUUCACUGGAAAAAAGGGGGUUGUGACAUCGCCCCCUCCUAGGUUACCCGGAUGAUUCGAGAGCUAACUCAGGCCAAGUGCUUAGCUCACUCGGCUCACGGCCCCUUCCCGGUGUAGACCUGCUGACAAUUCCAGCCCUUCUCACACCAUUUCAUCAUUGAGCUCUUUUUCCCCUUGGGAACUUCAGAUACCGAAGCGCUUACCGCGUGCCUUGGGAAGAUUCUGCGCUCAGGUUAGGGGCCUAGGGAGCUGUUGAGCGGCAAGGCUGGUGACACUACACUUGGGAGGCACAGAGCAGACAGAAGAAUUUCGAAAGACGGCGGUAGCACCUGCUGGCCUCCCUCGUUCCCUGCUGCCCUACAGGACCCUGACUUAUUUCUAACUUCCAAGGUAGUUUUAUAUUGGCCGUUUCCCUAUCUCUGUUUAAAUCUAUGACAUUUCUGAGUAGCAUUAUGGAUCAUAUCCGUCCCACACGUGGGACAUGCCUGCUUGGUCGCAAGCAUGCCCUGGAGGUAAUGCUGGUAAGCCAAGAGAGCCGUCUGAACAGAAGGUACUCGAACAUCUGCUUCCCGCAGCCAAGCCCUAGCGUGGCCUUCCCCACUCGCUGUAUUGUGUGUGCUAUGCACCAUAUACUCGGCCAGGACCCUUCUCCGCUUGGAGCCACGCUGGCUGACUGAGGGCUGAUGACACGGACCCCCCCCCCAGGGAACAAUACCGCCCCAAACGCUAAAACGACAAUGUUACAGAGGGCCGCGAGAACCUUCAAGGAACCCGCCGGGCGGGCAGGGGACCCAGGACAAAAGGCAUUGUAAGCAUCACUGUCAGGGGGAGGCAAGUGACCGACAAUUGUACGACAGGCACUGAGUGAAACUGGGCUGGCCCAUCACCACCCUGGGCACCGUGAGGAGACAAAGGAGCACUUGCCUCCGGGAGAGGAUGCCAUAGCCGCGGGCGCACCGGGGGCCACCUACGACGCGCAGAGCAAAGCUCCGGGUUCGAGGCCCAGCAGACACACAGCCCAGCUUACGUCUGUCGAGGCCACUUGAGGGGUAAGUAGGAGACAGGUCAUAAUGGAGCGGGGACCGGGAAUCGCUGGAAAAAGGUUUGGGAAGAGGGACAUGGGAGGGCAGAUCAAGGAAGGAACGGAGGCGAAUCUGAGGAGUGUGGGUUGGACGAGAAGGUCAUGGGCCCGGGAGUUAAUUGUUUAUUUCAUUCUAGACUAAAUGCAGGCAACCUGCCUCGUGCUCUAUCUCGAUGCCCUAAGCAGCAGGGAUCGUGAGUCCACCUGGCAGAAAGCGCCGCACACGCUCAGGGACAAAUGGGAUCCCACCUCUUACAUUUCUAGUCUCCUGGGCUCCCCAGGCCUUUUGGCAGAAAGCCAGCAUCUCCCUCCUGGGGUAUCCGUCAACACAGGGAGGUCUGUGGAGUCCGAAGGAAAGAGUCAGUUCAGAUUCCACAGGGAACGGGGAUCGGAGGCGGCACGUACUUACAGCCAGUUGCGGCCCGAAGAUGCCGACACUGCUGAAAUGUGACCUUGACCUUCCAGAUUCUUCCAGAGACUGCCAGCCGUGCCCACUGCCUUGGGAUCGAGUCCGGCUACACGGCGGCUCCAAACACCGUUGCCCAGAUCUUUUAACCCCAUCCACAGGCACAGUCAGGCUGGCAGCCUGGCCCGGGAACGCUGUUUCAACGUCGGCCACCUCACGGCCCCGACGGUGGUUUUCCUUCGUCGUGAUCCACUCGCAAAGGCUCCUCUCCUUUCCCUGGUCAGUGGGGCUGCCUGGACCCUCCUGAAGGAAGGCGACCUUCUGAGGUGUCCCCUCAGAGGCCCCUCAAACAGGGCCCCUCAGAGGCUCCAAAGGGGUUUUCCUUGGCAAGCCCCCUAAUGGGUUCCAAGAUGGCUUCCCCUGGUGGCUCCCAAGAACGUCUGCCAAGAGGAAAGAAAACAAAUACAAUCUUUGGGGCAACUUCCCACUUCAGGAGCAAAGUUUAGAACACCAUAGGUUUGUCUCUGCUUUACCUCCUGCCUCCCUUCCAUCCAUGUCACCCUCCCCGCCCCACCCAGGCAGCUCUCUUCCUGCCAUAUCUCCUUGCCACCCCCCUACCCUCCACUCAUCUCUCCCCGUCUCUCCUUAAGCCCCUACAUUUCUCCUCCAAGUCUACCUUGGUUUCCCCUCUCCAUGGCCAUCCUCCCACUUGGCCUUAUAUCUCCUUUAAAAUUUUCAUUUUUAAUUGGUAGUUGAAGUUUCUUUUCUUUUUUAAUAUUUUUUUUUAGUGUUUAUUCACUUUUGAGAGAGAGCGACAGAACACGAGCGGGGGAGGGGCAGAGAGAGGAGACACAGAACCCGAAGCAGGCUCUAGGCCGCUCUAGGCUCUAGCUGUCAGCCCAGAGCCCGACGCGGGGCUCGAACCCACGAACCAUGAGAUGGUGACCUGAGCCGAAGUCGGACGCCCAACCGACAGAGCCCCCCAGGGGCCCCAGUAGUUGAAAUUUCUAAUCACAGAUUUGUGGCCUAAACACUGGCAAAACUUUCUAGCUGCAAGAGUGUUGGAGCAAUAACGCAAAAUUACCAGAGAAGGCACUAAGUAGGUGGGGAUUGUUCAAGCAGAAAAACUCAUUUAAAUGAUCUAAAAGCGGUUGUUAGAACACGCUAUUUUCCCACGACCUUCAAAGAACUAUCUCCCCCGUGGAGUACUUAUUGUAACAGAAACCCCAGACAUAGUAUUUAAAACCGGCGAUCCGAGAAUCUAAGUCACAAAGGCAUUACUGCUGAGUUCGAGCCCUGCAUCAGGCUCUGUGCUGACAGCAUGGAGCCUGCUUGGGAUUCUCUCUCUCCCUCUCUGCCCCUCCCCCAUUGCACUCUCUCUCAAUCUCUAAUUAAACAAUAAACUUAAAAAAAAAAAAGAAACUAUUUCUCCUCUGAGGCUUUGGAAACCCAUCAGAGCCUUCUCCUCAAGACUGUCUCCUGAGUUGUCUGUACAGAACCCCUUCCCCCCAUCAUCCAAAUAAGUUUAUCCGCAAUCAGCAAAGAAAAUUCCAUUAAAAUUGUAUUCAAAUCUUGAAAAAAGCGAAAACAAAAUAGGAUGAUUCCCUGGAAUGUUGUAAAACCAUACCUUAAAAAAAACAAAACAAAACAAUCAACGUACGGCAGACUAUCUUAAUCACCCUUUGCUCCAAACUUGCAUCGAUUUUGGACCUAGCUGAAGACACCAACCAACUCCUUCUGGAGACCAUGAAAAUUAUUAAUUUCCAUUAAAAAGAAUUUAUUG